rnacentral:lncRNA from 1 species
GUAAGGAUUAUUUUACUUUGGUGUAUUCAAUACUGGGGGUUUGUGGGCUAUUUACUUACAUUAUUGCUGCUGUUGGACAAACAACAGGUGCAUCAGGGCUGCGCAGGCAGGGGCUCGCAAGCUGUUAUCCAGGCAAUUGCCUCCCUCCCCCACCACCCAAAACAAUUUCUCUCCAAGGUUACUGUUAUGCUAGUUGACUGGCUGCCAGAACAGAGCACCUCUCCCCACAACAAUACAGCGACUAGGGUCUGGUUUCAAUGAUGGACUCUUUUUGCCUACGUCACUACUUUAUCCGCUUUAAUAAAAUACAAAACAGUAGCUAGCAAGAUGGUGCAUGAGUGCAUUUCACAAGUGGCUAGUUUGUGUUAACUACCUUAACUAAAACCACUGCAAAUAUUUUUUUUUGCAAACUUUGGUUUUGAAUCGCGACGUUCAGGCAUGUCUGCCUCGUAAUCUGUUGGGAGUCCCCGGCAAAGUUUUUUUCGCUUAUCGACAUAGGAAGUGACAAAGUUUCUCAUUGCAACCAGACCCUAGUCACUGUGUUGCUUAGGGUCAGGUUUUCAGGAGUAGCAGGGGAUGCACAUGCCACAUUGAGGUUUCCAGAGAGAUUAAUUCCACCACCCCAGGACCAAGCAGCGUGCUCAGGAGGAGCAAGGAUCCUGGGCCUGGGAGGAAAGCCAGGAGUGGAGGACAUCCUGGGCUUGGGCCGAAAUAAUGUCAGGAGACAAAAGCCUGCCAUGGAAGCAGGCGGAAGCAGCGAAGGAGGAAAGGCGAUGACAUCGGGGCUCGCGGCCACAACGUAGGAAGCCCGAGAAGCAGCCUCAAAAAAAAAUGGGGGGGCACACGGGGUGGUCGGCGGUGCCGAGGUGUGUGCUGAGGUGUGAACCAGAGCCAGUCCACACGGGGUGGAAAUAAGCUUUUAGCCCUACAAAGCUGUACGUUUCGUUGGUUAAUCUUUAUUGUUUUGUUGCC